rnacentral:rRNA from 1 species
UACGGAGGAUGCAAGCGUUAUCCGGAAUGAUUGGGCGUAAAGCGUCCGCAGGUGGCAAUGUAAGUCUGCUGUCAAAGCGUCUGGCUCAACCAGAUAAAGGCAGUGGAAACUGCAUAGCUAGAGUAAGGUAGGGGUAGGGGGAAUUCCUGGUGUAGCGGUGAAAUGCGUAGAGAUCAGGAAGAACACCGGUGGCGAAGGCGGAUCUCUGGGCCUUACCUGACGCUGAGGCGCGAAAGCUAGGGGAGCGAACAGG